GACUACCUAGUUCAGUGGUUAGAAUACCUGUCUAUAUUUGCAGAAAGUCCCAGGUUCAAUUCCUGAUAUAGUUA